AGUAUUGUUCCUUUCAUUGUGUGAUCGGUCAAUAGACCGCGACAAUGGCCAGACAUCAAUGCCGCACCCCCUUCCCCCUAAUUCACUUUCACAUCAGUAUAUUCUAAUAACCGCUUGGUCUCCUUGAUCUCAAUGUUUCCGUAGAGGAAGCUUUCAGGUUUUGCUCUUCGAAAUCGUUUGAACAUUGAGAUCAAGGAGACCAAACGGGAGCACGUUAUCAUGCACCUUGCUUAGUCCUCUGGUGUUUGAUGGUAACCAGGAUAUCAUUCGAUCGUAUGGGUACUGAGAAUUCUUUGUUUUUGAUUUUGAAAUCGUCUAAUCCAUGGUGAACGGUUGUUUAUAGACCUUGGUGGAAAUUCGCUAUUGUUGAUGAUCUUGACUAUUUUCAGUCUCCAUGGAAAUUUGGGUUAAUUGUAUCUCAAGAUUCAAGCUUUUACUUGCUUCCGAAUGUGGUUCUUUGUAGUUCUUAGCUUUCUGCUGAUCAAGGAACAACUUCUUACUCUCUAUAUCCUUUUUCAGUGACUGGUUGCGCUAAGUAAAGUCCAUCUCCAAUAAGUGUUCUUCCUUCCUUUUAAGACUAUUAACAGAGGCUUUUCCUUGGAAGGCGGAGGCUUCUCAUCAGAUUCACUUGGAGAAAAAGAAAACGGUGUAACGGGACUUGAAGUCAAGAGCUUUUCUACCUGUCUCUCGGUUUCAUAGGUAGUCUUUUAAAUAAUUGGUAAUAUUUGGGUUUACUAGAAAUCUCACAUUGGAAGUCAAUUAAUUAUUCAAAUGUGAUUGUUCAAUUUACG
rnacentral:lncRNA from 1 species